rnacentral:lncRNA from 1 species
UUUCAUUGUCCUGAUGUUUCACUUUAAUUGUCACAAAUGAUCCUAAAUAAAUAUUUAUGUGCAGUUUAUAUGGUUUUAUAGAUAAAAUAUGUGGUUAUUUACGACAUUUAUUUGUAUUUCAGGCUGGUCAUCAAGACGUGCUCCCUGUACCCGACUCACUGGAUAGGGAAGGACCACUGCCUGCUCAGCUCUGGAGACAAACUGGUGCUGAUGAGAGAGAACAAUAAAGAUGGAGACAAUGAAGAUGGAGAUCAACACAUACAGAUUCGCUGCAAGAGACCUGAGACCAGCGAGUUCCGUCGUUCUUGGGAUCUCUUCCUAUCGGUGAUGACAAAGCUAGUGUUGCUGUCUAGACAGUGGCCUGGCCUAUCCCAACAUGUCCACACCCCCUGUAAGGAGAAAGGUUGCACAGCCUACUUCGUCUGGAGAGACUGGCAGGACCUCUCAAACUCAGACAUAUAUGACCUGUAAGCCAAAUGUAUCUAACGUAAUUGUUAUUUGUCUAUUUGUCUAUGCACAACUGUAUUGUUAUUAUAUUAUUGCACUUAUUUCAAAUGAUAAUUAUGUUGUUUCUCUAUCAAUACACUAUUAAAAUACUAUUACAACUGAAGUGUGUGUGUGUGUGUGUGUGUGUGUGUGUGUGUGUGUGUGUGUGUUGAACAGUGUGCAGGAGGAAAAACAACUCUGCCGAAAUGGACACACGCGACGGACCGAAAUGCUUUUCCCAAAAGAUCCUGUUGUCAACAAAUCAAAAGGACAAUGACCAGAACCUAGAAAGCAGAACUUCAUUAGAGGGAGAUGGUUUCUCUUUCAGUGAUGUCUCCAAGUUGACUAUCUUACAAUCAAAACAUUUUCCUUAUAUGCAACAUCAAAAUAUUCACUCCUUACAGUUUGGGUUUAGGCUUGAGGUCUCAUUUAUAUUCAUAUUCAUGUUUCUCUCUCAAUAUUAUGAAAGUAUAUAUUUUUAUAUCCUACCACAGGGCAGCGCUCUUGAUCCAUUCUGAUAAAAAGAAUACUGAUGUACAGCUACACAAAACUUCAUUGCAGUCCAGAUAUCCACUUUUUGAUGCCUUAUCCUGAUACCAAAUAAAUAAUUUUAAGCCUCUGACAUGACAUAAUCCAUUUUUAUUUGUAAUAUAUUUUAUUUAUUUAUUCAAUACUUAAUUCCAGAUGUAGAAUGUAAUGGGUUACUUGAUAUCCAAUUCAUAAAUUCAGAGUGCUGAACGUUUUCUAUGAGGAUUGUACAAUUCAACAGUUUGUCUUCCAUUAAUUUCAGAACUGAAUUGAAAUGGAGUUAACCCAAGCCCUGAUGUUUUUACACUGAAGGAAUUCUCUGUAUGUUCUAUCCUGGGGGAGUGGUGCGCCUAACUGAAUUACUGUGACUUCAGAAGGUAUUCACGCCCCUUGACCUUUUCCACAUUUUGUGGUAUUACAACCUGAAUUUAAAAUGGAUUACAUUAAGAUUUUGUGUCACUGGUUUACACACAAUAUCCCAUAAUGUCAAAGUGGAAUUAUGUUUUUGAAAUGUUUACAAAUGUAUUAAAAAUUAAAAGCCAAAAUGUCUUAAGUCAAUAAGUAUUCAACC